GACGAACGCUGGCGGCGUGCUUAACACAUGCAAGUCGAACGAAGAGCGAUGGAAGCUUGCUUCUAUCACUCUUAGUGGCGAACGGGUGAGUAACGCGUAAUCAACCUGCCCUUCAGAGGGGGACAACAGUUGGAAACGACUGCUAAUACCGCAUACGAUCUAAUCUCGGCAUCGAGGAAAGAUGAAAGGUGGCCUCUAUUUAUAAGCUAUCACUGAAGGAGGGGAUUGCGUCUGAUUAGCUAGUUGGAGGGGUAACGGCCCACCAAGGCGAUGAUCAGUAGCCGGUCUGAGAGGAUGAACGGCCACAUUGGGACUGAGACACGGCCCAGACUCCUACGGGAGGCAGCAGUGGGGAAUCUUCCGCAAUGGACGAAAGUCUGACGGAGCAACGCCGCGUGAGUGAUGACGGCCUUCGGGUUGUAAAGCUCUGUUAAUCGGGACGAAAGGCCUUCUUGCGAACAGUUAGAAGGAUUGACGGUACCGGAAGAGAAAGCCACGGCUAACUACGUG
rnacentral:rRNA from 1 species